rnacentral:misc_RNA from 1 species
CAGGAGCAGGUAAGCGUGCAGAA